GGAAAAGUUUUAGAAAUUUACCCCAAAAAUGAGACAGACUUGAAGUUUUUCACUAUGAUCCAGCAUUUAUUUUAAAAUCACUUUUUGUCGCGUUUCAACACCAACUGCUAACCUUCAUAAAAUCUUUAUUACUGAACCAAUUUUAAAAACUAAGGUACCAUUUUCAUCGUAACAACUAGUAGAACACAGAAAACAUAAAAAAAGUUGAGGCAGGAGGGGGAAAAAUUUCACCUUAAGGUAGCACUCCACAGUUAGGUGUGUAGUUUCGCAUUUUGGCCCCUGUGGAUUUUUUAAAUAUGAGAGCUAGUGUGCAAUAAAAUUCAUUUUUGGAUAGCUGAGUAUUAAAAUAGCCUUUGUAUUGGGUUUAUAUGAACAUCAAGGUUAUGUAAUGUAUGUAAUAUAGGCUGUUUUCUGUAUGACAGUCCGUAUUUGCAUGUCCAUACCAUACAUUGGUC
rnacentral:lncRNA from 1 species